rnacentral:tRNA from 1 species
CUUUUUUUGUUCGUGUUUUUGAGAAUUGGCAUUCAGUUUACCAGAGAGCGUUUUCGCUUAAAAAAAU